rnacentral:rRNA from 1 species
CCUACGGGGGGCAGCAGUGAGGAAUAUUGGUCAAUGGACGAGAGUCUGAACCAGCCAAGUAGCGUGAAGGAUGACUGCCCUAUGGGUUGUAAACUUCUUUUAUAUGGGAAUAAAACAGGGUAUGCAUACCCUCUUGUAUGUACCAUAUGAAUAAGGAUCGGCUAACUCCGUGCCAGCAGCCGCGGUAAUACGGAGGAUCCGAGCGUUAUCCGGAUUUAUUGGGUUUAAAGGGAGCGUAGGUGGAUUGUUAAGUCAGUUGUGAAAGUUUGCGGCUCAACCGUAAAAUUGCAGUUGAAACUGGCAGUCUUGAGUACAGUAGAGGUGGGCGGAAUUCGUGGUGUAGCGGUGAAAUGCUUAGAUAUCACGAAGAACUCCGAUUGCGAAGGCGACUAUCUGGCACAUAACUGACGCUGAGGAGCGAAAGCGUGGGUAGCAAACAGGAUUAGAUACCCCUGUAGUC